GGGGCUGUGGCUCAGUGGAAGAGCCUCUGCUUUACGUGCAGAAGGCCCCAGGUUCAAUCCCUGGUAUCUCUG